CGCGGCCUAUCAGCUUGUUGGUGAGGUAAUGGCUCACCAAGGCGACGACGGGUAGCCGGCCUGAGAGGGUGACCGGCCACACUGGGACUGAGACACGGCCCAGACUCCUACGGGAGGCAGCAGUGGGGAAUAUUGCACAAUGGGCGCAAGCCUGAUGCAGCGACGCCGCGUGAGGGAUGACGGCCUUCGGGUUGUAAACCUCUUUCAGUAGGGAAGAAGCGAAAGUGACGGUACCUGCAGAAGAAGCGCCGGCUAACUACGUGCCAGCAGCCGCGGUAAUACGUAGGACGCAAGCGUUAUCCGGAAUUAUUGGGCGUAAAGAGCUCGUAGGCGGUUUGUCGCGUCUGCCGUGAAAGUCCGGGGCUCAACUCCGGAUCUGCGGUGGGUACGGGCAGACUAGAGUGAUGUAGGGGAGACUGGAAUUCCUGGUGUAGCGGUGAAAUGCGCAGAUAUCAGGAGGAACGCCGAUGGCGAAGGCAGGUCUCUGGGCAUUAACUGACGCUGAGGAGCGAAAGCAUGGGGAGCGAACAGGAUUAGAUACCCUGGUAGUCCAUGCCGUAAACGUUGGGCACUAGGUGUGGGGGACAUUCCACGUUUUCCGCGCCGUAGCUAACGCAUUAAGUGCCCCGCCUGGGGAGUACGG
rnacentral:rRNA from 1 species